rnacentral:rRNA from 1 species
UACGAAGGGGGCUAGCGUUGUUCGGAAUUACUGGGCGUAAAGCGCGCGCAGGCGGUCCUUCAAGUCAGAGGUGAAAGCCCAGGGCUCAACCCUGGAACUGCCUUUGAAACUGGAGGACUUGAGUACGGGAGAGGUGAGUGGAAUUCCGAGUGUAGAGGUGAAAUUCGUAGAUAUUGGGAAGAACACCGGUGGCGAAGGCGGCGCUCUGGACCGAGACUGACACUGAGGAGCGAAAGCGUGGGGAGCGAACAGG